UCAAGUCCGUCACAUUCGUCUUUGGAAGGCCUCUUCAAUAUUACAAGGCCUCAUAAGGUUGUGAAAAACUCCACAUACCUGUUGUGGAUCCCACUUGGCAAGAUCAAAGUUGUUUCAAGAUGAAGCCGAGAAAAGAGAGUAUUGUGACUUGCAAUGGAAAUAUUGACGAGUCCCAGAAUGAUGGUGGCAUUAUCCACAUAUAAGUUGUUGAUGAGUCGAAACGGAAUACGUAUUAUGUCGCCCUCAUAUUCAAGGACACUGACACAGAUCCGGAAACGUAGUGACUAGUACUGGACAAGGGAAAGGAAAGCAAGUCUUAGACAAAAACUAUUCAGGAUGCAAGUCGCUUCGAGCCUGAACACUUCUGGGGCUGUACAAUCUUCAGAAGUCAUUCCUUCCCCUACUGUUAUCUGGAAUGCGAAUACACUGGAAACACCACAUUGGUUAAAAAUAAGUACCCUGACUAUCCUAACUCUCAAGCACUUUUUAUUCUUAAUAUGGUUUCAUUUGACAGACCUGAAGACUUUGGAGGAUAUUACUUUUGGCUACCUGCACAAAUUCUACCAUCAUUUAGGUUUCUCUCUUCAAUAUUAGGAGUAAAUAUAACUGAGAAAUUGUUGUGUAUUAGGGGUUCGAUGUACUACCACUAAAGAGUAACACGUGCACAGACCAAGUGCUACAAAACUGCUUUAUUAGAAUGCUA